rnacentral:rRNA from 1 species
AUCUUGGACAAUGGGGGAAACCCUGAUCCAGCCAUGCCGCGUGAGUGAUGAAGGCCUUCGGGUUGUAAAGCUCUUUUGUAUGGGAAGAUAAUGACUGUACCAUAAGAAUAAGCCCCGGCUAACUUCGUGCCAGCAGCCGCGGUAAUACGAAGGGGGCUAGCGUUGUUCGGAAUUACUGGGCGUAAAGGGUGCGUAGGUGGUUAUGUAAGUCAGAAGUGAAAGCCCUGGGCUCAACCCGGGAAUUGCUUUUGAAACUAUAUAGCUAGAGUUCGAGAGAGGUAAGUGGAAUAUCCAGUGUAGAGGUAAAAUUCGUAGAUAUUGGAUGGAACACCAGUGGCGAAGGCGGCUUACGGCUCGAUACGACACUGAGGCACGAA